GAGUAACUAUUGGAAACGAUAGCUAAUACCGCAUAAUAUUUGAUUAUUGCAUGAUAAUUGAUUGAAAGAUGCUAUUGCAUCACUACCAGAUGGACCUGCGUUGUAUUAGCUAGUAGGUGAGGUAACGGCUCACCUAGGCGACGAUACAUAGCCGACCUGAGAGGGUGAUCGGCCACACUGGGACUGAGACACGGUCCAG
rnacentral:rRNA from 1 species